rnacentral:rRNA from 1 species
UAAAGACUAUAGGCAACAUAACGGUACUAACUUCUACUUUUGUGCUUAGUAAGUACACCGUGACUUAUGUGUGUGCGCCAACGUGAUGAACAGGUCUAAUUAGAAAGUGGUAGAGUGUAUGUAUGUUUGUACUAUCAUGUAGUAGUCGCAUAUCUCUUGAUUACUUUUGUGCCGCCUAAUGUUGUCGUUCGGCCAGGCCAGCCGUGCGUCCGUCCGUCUGUACCCUCCCUAGUCGGCUUCUUCCCACCCAGCAUAGGCAACGACCACCACCGCUCCUACAUCAUCCGCUGCUACACCGGCUACCUCGGGGUCCGCUCCUGCAGCUGCUCCAACUUCGGCUGCCCCAGCAACCUGAACUCCUACGGGCGCUUGAGGAACCGCGCGAGCAGCGGCCGGAGCUUCACCCAGAACGGCAAGACGAGCCCCUGGACGAAGCGGUGCAAGAGGGCGACCUUCAACUUCUUCUGCUUCGCCGGGUAGUGGUCGCUGUCGGGGCACGACUCCGACUAGUGGUGGCUGCCGAGGUCGCGGCGGGCGCGGCGGUGCCUGGCGGAGCGGCCGCGGGCCUUGCUCUGCCGGCGGGCGCCCCUGCCGCGGUCCGCCUCGGGCCGGUGCCACCCGCCCCUGUCGUGCCGCCGCCAGCUCCACCGGUACCAGGAGAGAGGGAGCCUAGACACACCCACCAGUUCUUGGUUGCACGCCGCUCAAGAACUAGAGCCAUCCGCGAUGCAUGCACCACAAACCACCACACCCAUAUAUCCCCCUAUACCACCCCCGCGCCCUUACGCUCCAAUC